AGAAUCAACGCUGGCGGCGUGCCUAACACAUGCAAGUCGAACGCGAAAGUCCCGCAAGGGAUGAGUAGAGUGGCAAACGGGUGAGUAACACGUGGGUGACCUGCCUUCGAGCGGGGGAUAACGUCCCGAAAGGGACGCUAAUACCGCAUGACAUCCUGCCUUUGAAGAGGUGGAGAUCAAAGUUGGGGAUCGCAAGACCUAGCACUCGAAGAGGGGCCCGCGCCUGAUUAGCUAGUUGUGGGGUAACGCUCACCAAGGCGACGAUC
rnacentral:rRNA from 1 species